CUCCAUCCAAAUUGACGUUAACUGCGUUGACUCUCCCCUGUUUGAGCCCACUUGAAGGGCUAAAUUUGUCAAUUCAGUCAUAAUGAAAGAAAGAGUUUCUCUCGAUCUUGGCAAUCUGCUUCAACGACGGUGUUUUGGUUGGUUGCCUCUUCUUCUUCGUCUUCGUCUUCGUCAUCUAGGAUUUGUCGGUUUUGUUUUUUCGUUUUAGUCCCUUUUCCCCAAGGAAUGGAUCAGAGAACGAACCAUCAAUUGAGUAUUUAGGACCGAUCUAAUCGGAGGUGUUCGGCUUGGGAUUGUCGAUCUUCAUUGAUGACAUCUUCUCGUUCUCUUUCCCCAUCUCAAAUAUCUUUCAUUAACAAAUCACACCAGCACUGACAUCACGUCCCACUCCAACUUCGCUGAGUCCACCAAGGCUGUUCUCAACCUCGUUUGAUCUACUUGCAGCAAACCUUGCCGAUCCAAAAUCGUUAGGGAUUUGGGGAAACCUAAUUGGGUUGUACAAGUUUGCUGCCAUAUUACUCAUUCUAUCAGUUUGUGUGUAAGGUUGAACAAGUCGCGGCCACGAAACUAGUCAAGUGAGAAUGCUCAGGGAAGAACUACAGCUUCUGCAAGAGCCUGCACAAAGGUACUUGCUGUAUUCAUAUCCUGAUACAGUUGGAAAAGAGUUCACUUUGAAAGUUAUCUUCGCUCCUGUCUUAGCACAAUACCAGCUGAGGCUGCCUAUCGGAAGAUGGUUGAUUUAUCUGCUUAAGAAAUAAGCACAAGAUUUGAAGAGCACUCUUGUUGAUGCAGGGCAAAAGUAUCACUUUACAUUUGACAAAGUAUUUGAUCAUGUGGCAUCACUACAUGAUGUUUUUGUGGAAAUAUCGCAACUUUUCCAAAGUGCACUCGACGGCUACAAGGUCUGAAUAUUUGCCUAUGGUCAAUCGGGAUCUAGUAAAACAUAUACCAUGAUGGGUAGACCAGAAACUCCAGACCAAAAGGGAUUGAUAGCUCGGUUAGUAGACCAGAUAUUCCAAACAAGUCAAUCUCUUCAAGCUCAGGGUUGGAAGUAUAGGAUGCAGGCCUCAAUGCUUGAGAUCUAAAACAAGAUAAUCCGUGACUUGUCAUCGACAAAUCGACCAAGUGGUGCAGAGUUGACAAGGACAGAAAGUGGUAUGGGCAAACAAUAUACAAUAAAGCAUGAUGUCAAUGGAAACACACACGUAAUAAAUGAUAUCGUAAUGGUUAAUGGCAUGGAUGGUAUAGGUACUGUAUGUAUCAUGCUCUUCUGCUGCAGUAUGUGCUACUUGCGAAGCAUCACAAUAACCUUGGAGGUGAUGCAAGUCAGAAUAUAGUGCACAAGAUGCUUGAUAAAAUGGCACAUGAAGGUUUUGUUGAUGUCAAAGGAUAUUGUAUCAGCUUUUGAUUCAUGUAUAGCUACUUCAGCAUGAUGAAUUUCUGCUUGUGCUGAUAGAUAUGACAUAAAACAAUUAUCAGUUUUGAUUCAUGCAUGCAUGGGUCUAGCUAGACUAGGAAUGCUUUCUUCGUUUGUUUGGUAGUUUAAUUAUCUAGUUUGGAUGUUUGGUUGUACUUGACAAAUGCAACUCAUAUAGUUACACUAAUUAUAUGGAUCAAUGUGGCUUUAUAUGUAUUGUUCAUUCGGUAAUAUAUAUUGUUCAUUUGA